rnacentral:rRNA from 1 species
UACGUAGGUGGCAAGCGUUAUCCGGAUUUACUGGGUGUAAAGGGCGUGUAGGCGGGACUGCAAGUCAGAUGUGAAAACUAUGGGCUCAACCCAUAGCCUGCAUUUGAAACUGUAGUUCUUGAGUACUGGAGAGGCAGACGGAAUUCCUAGUGUAGCGGUGAAAUGCGUAGAUAUUAGGAGGAACACCAGUGGCGAAGGCGGUCUGCUGGACAGCAACUGACGCUGAGGCGCGAAAGCGUGGGGAGCAAACAGG